AGAGACAAAGCUGGAGGACUCUAAAGCUGUCUGAAGACUCUAAAGCUGUAUCUAAGAGUUUCUGAUAAGCCACCUUUCAAAUCUCAAAACAUGAAAAAUACAGAGAUUCAUUAAACUGAGAGUUUUAUUGAGGACUUACUGUGUGCUAAGAUGAGGAUUUCAUUCAGUGGUAAUGUCAUAUGGAAAGAUCUGAAGGCAAGAAGGAAAGAAUACCUAAGACAAUCAAGGAACUGCAAGAAUAGGAGCCAUGCAGAAGCUCAGGAACCCUGGCAGUCUUGGUGAUCCAUGCCCACUGUCCCUCUGCCAUCCAGGGAGUCUCGAUCUGGAGGAAUGCUGGUGCCUGGCCCAUAUUCCUACAUUGCAGGAUGGGCAGCCAGGGCAAGAAGCACCUGGGACAUGGCAACCUGCUUGUCUGGAAGAAUCCAGGGUAAAUCCACU